AGGGUUGUGGGGGCGGAAGGAAGAACUUUUUUUCCCCCAUUUGGGAAUGCGGAAAUCUUCUGCUUCUGCAGCCCCGGGUGAUUUUUCUGUGUUUAACACGAACAAACAAGACCCAGGAUGGCCAGUAAGAGUGCUGUCAGAGCAGACGAGGGCCUGAUGAUGAUGCAGGAGCUUGAUGAUCGGCUGAAAGAACAAAUUGACAAACUUGAGCACAUUCGUCUGGCUGCAUUCGAAGUGAAGGACAACUUGUCUGGGAGCAACAGUGAUCUGAGCCAGUCCAUCAGUGACCAUUUGGAAUGGCUAAAACAUCUGUCCGAUCGAGUUGAGACGCUUCAUGUGAACACAGAUGUGUUUGUUCAGAUGAAUCCAAAGCCUCGAACGUGGACAUCCAGACGUGGUUCCAGACAAAGCUUCCGUUUGGGACGUCUCCAGCAGGCGGACGAUGCUGCGUCUGAGUUCGGCUGGUCCCCAGUGCGGAUGCGGCGCAACAGUGAUGCUGCGUCUGAAAUGUCGUGUAACUGGUGAAAGGGAACCCUGGAUCUCAUACCUACAAAAGAAACGAUGUAAUCCAAAAACAGUAUCGAGAUUCAGCUAUCUUUUUUUUUUUUAGGUACUCUAAGUUUUUCACUUAAAGAUGCAAUUCCUUCAUUAGUGGCAGCACACCUGAAUUUUUAAAGGAGCACCUGUAUGUAGCUACUACAAGCACUUCCAUAAACACUUUCUUUAUAUGGACCUCCAAAAUGCUCAAAAUUAAAUAGAUAAAUAAACUAUAUGAAAUAAAUAUCUACAUGUAUAAAUAAUAGAUUAAUAUAUUAUGUGACAAUGAAAUUGUAAUAACUGAAUGCAUAAAAAAGUAUAAGCUGAUUAUUAUGAAACGUUUUCCUUUUCCUCUAAAGAUGCACUCAUUAAUUCAAAAGAUUAUUUCAAUGUCAUUUUUUUUCAUAAUAAUAUAUGAUUUUGAGCAUUUUGGAGUUGCGUAUAUCCAGCAGUACCUCAGCGAUGUCCCACUAUAAGCGUAUUAGAUUAAUGAAAGUGUUGUAUACUCACUGUUACCUCAUACAAAAUAAAAAUGUUGUUUUCAAAUUUU